rnacentral:lncRNA from 1 species
UUAUAUUAGGUUAACAUGUCUCACAUGCAGCUUGAAUCAUCCAUUUGGAGACUAUAACAGGUACAAGAUGACAUCGGAGUUGGGUAAUUAAUUAAUAAUUGGCUUGGAGGGAUUUGAAUUGAUGACCUUCAGUAAACUUGGUUUUGAUAUCUUAUCAUAUUAAUCAAUCUUCGAUGAUAUGUAGAACUUGUUAGGCUUCUUGUUCCAAAGCCAUUUGCAUAAGAGCAAAACCAGAGCUUGAUUUUUCCAAUGAAAAUUCUAUCAUUUCAUUCUUUCCAUAGGGUCCCCAAUAGCAAUU